AACCACAUUCUACUUGUGUAGGAGCUGCGACAGUAACCAACUCAUCCUGCCCUACUCACAGUAUAGCGUCUUUAGGCAUUGACUACAAUCAGCCAAGUCACCGGCUGAGGGGAAGAACAAGAACCAACCUUGAACUGUGAUCUAAGACAUCUAAGAUAAAGUGGUUCUGACCUUCAGCCUAAAUUCCUCUCACUAGCGUUUGAGAUGGAAUGAGGUCAGGGCACACAUUUUCAUGUUUUCUUGCUACA
rnacentral:lncRNA from 1 species